rnacentral:hammerhead_ribozyme from 1 species
AUCCAGAUGACGAGUCCUAAAUUAAACGAAAUACACAUCCUGGAU